UAUAUUUUCUUUGAAGAUUAUGGAUGCAAAAUCUCUUUUUCAAUUAUAGUCGUGGUUUUGUAUAUACACUGAUAAAAAUCGUUUGUCACUAAUCUGUGUGUUGCGGAAAUAGUUGUAUGUGGCAUUUAACCUAGUGGUAAUUAGUAUAAAUUGAGUUAUAACAUAAUAUUAAAUUACAGAGUCAUAUAUUAUGCAUCAACUCAGGUCUAUCAUACUAUAAUGUAGUAGUUCUAGAAGAAAACCUGAUCUAUAAAGUUUGUUACAUAUAUUAGGAGAUAGAGAGAGAAGAGAUGUAUGUAGUAGGCAAAUCACAAAAUCACAAAUGGUAUCUGGUCAGAUUCCUGGUUUAAUACUUUCAUCACUUUGUUUCCUUUUUUCUUUGUUGGAUUCAUAAAUUUGACAUUGGAAAUCUCUGAUUCUCUUUGUCCCAGUUUUGCUACAGAUGCAUGUGUAUGUUUUUGUCCAUUUGAUUGAUAAAGAUCCAGCUAUUUAUUACUUGAUUUUGACCGUUGAUUUUUCAGAUCUGAUAUGUUUUGUUUCCUCCGAUUCGGGAAAUUUUAUGUUUCUUUGCCAUUUUUUUUGGAGUUUAGUUGGAAAAAGAGUGAGAGUCGCUGGAGGCAGCGGUUCAUCGAUCUCUUCCUGGGAACGAAUAUAUAAAUAUUGAAAAAGCAUGAAUAGAUCGAUAAACCUCUGCAUCCAGCGUUUGCCUCUUUAUCUUUGUUAUUGGCUUCAAUUUUUUUGGUUUUUGAAAAAAGUGAGGGAAAACAGAGUCAAGUCAGAUUAUUUUUCUGGCAUACUUGAGGAUUUUGUGUUCUUAAGAGCAGAUAAAGAGGAGACAGUUGUUUCUGGUGAGAAUUCGACCUCUUUAGUUUGUUUAAGUGAAUUGCUUGUUUCUUUGAGUAUGUAGUUGACUGAUAAGCCUUAGCUUGACCUUUAUGUUUAUUAAGUGGAUUUGGCGUUGGACAAAUUGAAAACAAGUUCAGAUUCUUGUAGGUAGGUUCCUUUCUUGGUCUGACCAAACAAUGGUCAGGAUAAAGUGGUGUGUUUUGUUUCAUGUAUCAAAAAGUCUAGAUUCUUGCUUUUCUUCCAACAUGCAAGAUUUCUCUUUAUGCCAUGUGAAAUUCAAUUGCAGUGUUGACAUCUCCUAUUGUGAUAGGCGAUGUAUCAGUGGUGAAGCAAGAAUGAAAUAUGUGGGUACUUGUUCUUGUUCCCUCACCCUGAUUUCUGUGUGUUUGGACUUGAAAAACUAGAAUCAAUUCACUCCAAACGGUGUUAACUCUGCUGCCAUGCGUUGAGCUGCUUUUUGGAUUUUCCAUUGUUUUGUUUUGUGUGGUAAGUUCAUUGUGUAGUUUCUUUUCAACUGUAUGAAACCCACAUUGUUAAUUGUAAACACUUACUUAUAAACGCAAACAUCAAUCUUCAUUCA